GGAAACCGCUCCCACAACGCCGACGUCCAGCUAGACAGGAUGCUCCAGACCCCAUAUCUUUACUAGUAGAAGCAGCAGGAAAGUGAGGAGAGCUAGCAUCAUGUGACCAUCUUUCUACAAAACUAAACUUUUCCCUCCAAGAAGUCUAUAUAAGAGCCUACUCAGUGCCUGUGUGGGGCUGUCCAUUCCAGCGGCAGCACAUGCACCGUCCGAUCUUCCUACAGCUCCAGAGCUAGAGAGAAGAGUACCAUCUAUCCUGCAGCAAGAUUGAGGAAGGAGAGGCCUGUCAUCACUAUCCCUGCCACAGCGAACUGAAUCCAUUUUACUUGUGGAGGGUCCUGCUUUCCUGGUGCCCAGAGGGUCUCCCCUCCUGCAAAGUCCAACCAUCAUCAGGACUCCCCAGUAGUCCUCCUCGAAGGCUCUAAAUCAGCCAGAGAGUAGAAGGUCCUGGGCUUCGCACCUGCACGCUGUGUCCACUGCACCUAAAUCAUAGGAAAGGUUUCUGUAUUGGGGUUUCUUUUACUAUUUUUCUAAAUGCCAAGGAAGGUUUUGUGGGUCUGAGCUUCAAGCUCCUAAAGCCAGUCACUGAAUUACUGUAUGGUUAAGUUUGUGUUUCUUCCCCCUCAUUUUUCCCAGUUUUUUGUACUUUUGUACAAUUAUUUGCACCAUAUUACCUUGUCUCUCUUUAUUUUUAUUAUAUCACACAGGGAGGGAGGGACACCCUUAUUGUAAGCUAAAUCCACCAGUGACAGACACGGAAGUGAGCUGAGUCUGCUCUUCUGAGAAAAGGGGCUUUCCUUGUCUAUCUUUCUCCCUACCAUUUUUCUAGUAUUUUCUCUCUGAAGCAUUACCUUACUCCCCUUGGGGUAACACCCUGGUCACUCAGUGAGUCACUAACAGAGCUGAAAAUAUAUGUCAGGACCCCCCCAACAACCAGCUUUCAGAAUUCCACUAAACCACAGGUGGUCUCUACAUCAAUGAAUUAGAUUUCACCGUUUAAGACUUAACUAGAGUAAAGUUUGUUAAAUUUUUGGUGUAAAAAUGUGGCAAAGGCAAUGGGGCAUGAAGAGAAUACAACAACAGAGGAAAGGGCUAGUUAAGAUGGAACAUUAAGGCUGCAAUGCUUGAUC